rnacentral:rRNA from 1 species
AUUGAACGCUGGCGGCAGGCCUAACACAUGCAAGUCGAACGAGUGGCGGACGGGUGAGGAAUGUCUGGGAAACUGCCAGAUGGAGGGGGAUAACUACUGGAAACGGUAGCUAAUACCGCAUACCAUCGGAUGUGCCCCGAUGGGAUUAGCUAGUAGGUGGGGUAACGGCUCACCAAGGCGACGAUCACUAGCUGGUCUGAGAGGAUGACCAGCCACACUGGAACUGAGACACGGGCCGGACUCCUAAGGUAGGCAGCAGUGGGGAAGAUUGCACAAUGGGUGCAAGCCGGAUGCAGCCCUGCCGCGUGUAUGAUGAGGGCCUUCGGGUUGUAGAGUACUUUCAGCGGGUAGGCGUUACCCGCAGAAUAAGCACCUGCUAACUCCGUGCCAGCAGCCGCGGUAAUUC